CAGUCGCCACGGGAAUACAGAGGGUGAGAGCGUUAAUCGGAUUUACUGGGCGUAAAGCGUGCGUAGGCGGCUAAUUGAGUCGGAUGUGAAAUCCCCGAGCUUAACUUGGGAAUUGCAUUCGAUACUGGUUAGCUAGAGUGUGGGAGAGGAUGGUAGAAUUCCAGGUGUAGCGGUGAAAUGCGUAGAGAUCUGGAGGAAUACCGAUGGCGAAGGCAGCCAUCUGGCCUAACACUGACGCUGAGGUACGAAAGCAUGGGGAGCAAACAGGAUUAGAGACCCCUGUAGUCCCUGUCUCUUAUAC
rnacentral:rRNA from 1 species